ensembl:lncRNA
UAUCAUAGCAUCUAAAUAGACAGAAGACCUGGUUGCUAGUAGAAACCCCAAGGCAAAAAGUCACAUAGCUUUGGUGCCUUUUACGUUAUGAAGGGUUUUUGUUAAAUGGGUAGAGAUUUUAGUUCUCUGAUGAAGGGAUUAUCUCAAUAAAACUGAUUGAACCUAAGACUGAGGACUUUGGAAUACUGAAUCAUGACUUAUAUAAAUCUAUAUAAAUCAAUUUCUCUGCCAGAAAAUGAAUAACCAACUUCAUUCAAAUGCCAGUUCAACAAUUACAAAGUCUGCUAGCGGUUAAUUAAAAGCUACCAUCUCAUUAUAUUCAGAGGUUCCAUGACUAAAGAAGCAGGACAAAUUUCCAUUGACAUGGUGGAUAUUAAAUGUCUGACAGACAAUGAAUUGCAACAACAGCUUAUCAAGCACGGAUAUAAUCCAGGGCCAAUAAUACCUUCUACAAGGCAGGUUUAUGAGGAUAAACUACAAGAAUUGAUAACACAACAUAAGGCUAAGAAGAAAAGCGAAGAACUAAAUCAGGAUCUGGAAUGUGAGGGAGAUAAAGAGGAUCUUGAUGAUCGCAUUUUGGAAAGAGCCAUCACAAGAUCAUCAAGAAGAAGUAAACAAUGCAAAAAAGAGAGUUGUGCACUUGAAAAACCUGCAAAACAAAAGAGUUUUAAAUUAGAACAGAGUGUCAGUCCUUUACUUCAAUGUGGCAGAAAGUUAUCUUCAGAUUAUUCCUCGAAUGGUGAUGUUGACAUCUUUUACGCUGAUCCCUCCUCUCACACAGGAAUAAGGAUUACAAUAAGAAGACCAUUAAAUUCCAAGACAGAGGAUCCAGAAAGACAGAAAAUGUUGGAAGAUAUGAAAACUGUAGAAAAGAAAGUAGGAGUGAUUUCAAUCGCCUUUAUAAUUACUGUGUUGCUCAUUUUUGCCUUUAUAAUUUUUGUCUACUUAACCAUGGAAAAGAAGGUCGCAGGCUAGUUACAUACAGUAAGACUAGCAUGAAGACAACAAGCAAUGGGCUCCUGACUGAGUAAUGUACCACUCUCUCUUCCCUCAGUAAAAGAACUCAGAACAACUUUGGAAUUAGUAUGCUCAAGUAAAAAGCCAAAUGCAGUGACUAUGUGGUCUUCCUUUGAAAGAUUACUGCUUUAAAAAAAAAGAAAAGAAAAAAAAACACAUUAGUAGAACUUUUAUGGCAUGAAGAGACAUUUGAAAUGAUAACAUUAAUACCCAGAAUAAAUUCCCCAAAUCAACAAUUGGGAUUCCCAAUGAAAUUUGUGGAAAGAGAAAAAAGAAAAAGAAAAAACACCAAAACCCUCAUAACAAAUAUGUCAGGCAAAACAAAUUUCCACAUUGGCCAUGUCCAAAAAUGUGUGUCUUAUUCUACAUAUUUGUUUUUCACCUAAUUGAAGAGUAAUAUCAGGAGGUGAGCAAUAUGCUUUAUCAUGAGUUCUCUAAAAUCAUAGCUACUCAUGGUAUUGAUCAAAGUUCAUAGAUCUUUCAAAAUUGUAUGUUGAAUUGUUUUAUCUUUUUCUUUCUUACUGUACAACAGCAUUUCAUUUCAUUCGUAUGAUAUGCCAUAAUAUAUUCAGCCAUUGAUAUAUCCCUUUUUAAGUUCCAAUACUUUGACAAUACAAAAAGAAUGGUUAUUAAUAUUUUUAUGCAUAUGAAUCCUUCAUCUCUUUCCUGGUUUCUCUGAAAUAGACCUAGAAGUAGUAUCUUUGGGUCAAAGAGCUUAAACAGAUUAGUAACCUGGGGGCAUAGUUCCAAAUUAUUUUACAAAAUAGCUAGACUAAUUCACAGCUCUACGAACAAUGUAUUAAUGUUUUUGUUCCCCCCCCCCAUCCCAAUAUAUUCCCUUCAACAUUUAUUAUCUUCUUUUUUCGUCAGCAAAUGAUUGUAAGGUAGAAUCCUGGGGUUUCAACAAUUUGCUUUUCUAGUGAUCUGGAACACUUUUUCUCUAUGCCCACUGAAAGUUUAGAUUUUACAUACAUAAUCCUAAUGGGGCCUCUUAACUCCUCCAAGAAUAUAUACUAUGGAUAUUCCCGAUCCUUUAAAGCUGAAGAAAUUGAGUCUCCAAAAGGUUUUUCUGAUUCCAUUCUGAUACCAUGGCAUGGUAUCUACUACACCAGGCUGCCUCUCAAAAAAUAAGAUAACUUAUUAAAUAAGGAAAGCUUUGCCAUUGAAAAGAUAUGGUUUCAUUUAAUAUCCAAAAGACUGACUUCCUACCAGCACCGUGGAGAUUAAAACUGUGUCUACACAGUCAAUUUCUGAGGGACAUUGAUGAGGAAAAACCACUAGACUGAACCAGGAGUUAAGGGAAGUGGGGUCUGUUACUCUGAAUUUAUAGGACCUUAGGCAAGGCUUUUAAGCAAUUUCCUCUUAGAAAUCAAAAUGAUAUGCUGAUCUCUUAAGGCCCCCUUCCAGCUCUAAAAUUCUUUGAUUCUAUGAUGUAGAAAACUAAGCAACUGUCUACUGGUUUUGCUCAGUAUAGGUUAUUAAUCUGUCAUUCCCUCCGGAAAAGUUUGCACAUGUCAUAAUGCUUGGAUAAUUCCCUCAAUUUUCUACUUCAUAUUGCCUCUGAAUAUGACAAGAAUUUGACCAGUAGUUCCAUUUAUAAAGCACUUUAAACUUGCAAAGUGUUUUCCUCACAGCAACCCAAGGUAGGUAUACAAG